rnacentral:rRNA from 1 species
AGAAAGGGACGGCUAACUACGUGCCAGCAGCCGCGGUAAUACGUAGGUCCCGAGCGUUGUCCGGAUUUAUUGGGCGUAAAGCGAGCGCAGGCGGUUUGAUAAGUCUGAAGUUAAAGGCUGUGGCUCAACCAUAGUUCGCUUUGGAAACUGUCAAACUUGAGUGCAGAAGGGGAGAGUGGAAUUCCAUGUGUAGCGGUGAAAUGCGUAGAUAUAUGGAGGAACACCGGUGGCGAAAGCGGCUCUCUGGUCUGUAACUGACGCUGAGGCUCGAAAGUGUGGGGAGCGAGCAGGAUUAGAUACCCUGGUAGUCCACGCCGUAAACGAUGAGUGCUAGGUGUUGGAUCCUUUCCGGGAUUCAGUGCCGCAGCUAACGCAUUAAGCACUCCGCCUGGGGAGUACGACCGCAAGGUUGAAACUCAAAGGAAUUGACGGGGGCCCGCGCAAGCGGUGGAGCAUGUGGUUUAAUUCGAAGCAACGCGAAGAACCUUACCAGGUCUUGACAUCCCGAUGCUAUUUCUAGAGAUAGAAAGUUACUUCGGUACAUCGGUGACAGGUGGUGCAUGGUUGUCGUCAGCUCGUGUCGUGAGAUGUUGGGUUAAGUCCCGCAACGAGCGCAACCCCUAUUGUUAGUUGCCAUCAUUCAGUUGGGCACUCUAGCGAGACUGCCGGUAAUAAACCGGAGGAAGGUGGGGAUGACGUCAAAUCAUCAUGCCACUUAUGACCUGGGCUACACACGUGCUACAAUGGACGGUACAACGAGUCGCGAAACCGCGAGGUCAAGCUAAUCUCUUAAAGCCGUUCUCAGUUCGGAUUGUAGGCUGCAACUCGCCUACAUGAAGUUGGAAUCGCUAGUAAUCGUGGAUCAGCAUGCCACGGUGAAUACGUUCCCGGGCCUUGUACACACCGCCCGUCACACCAUGAGAGUUUGUAACACCCAAAGCCGGUGAGGUAACCUUCGGGGGCCAGCCGUCUAAGGUGGGACAGAUGAUUAGGGUGAAGUCGUAACAAGGUAGCCGUAGGAGAACCUGCGGCUGGAUCACCUCCUUUCUAA